GAUGAACGCUGGCGGCGUGCCUAACACAUGCAAGUCGAGCGGAGAUUAUUGAGAGCUUGCUUUUGAUAAUCUUAGCGGCGGACGGGUGAGGAACACGUGGGUAAUCUGCCCUUUGCAGAGGGAUAACAUCAAGAAAUUGGUGCUAAUACCUCAUAAGCUCCCGUUAUGGCAUCAUAAAGGGAGAAAAGAUUAAUCGGCAAAGGAGGGGCCCGCGGCUGAUUAGCUAGUUGGAGAGGUAACGGCUCACCAAGGCGACGAUCAGUAGCCGACCUGAGAGGGUGAUCGGCCACAUUGGAACUGAGAGACGGUCCAA
rnacentral:rRNA from 1 species